CCCGUGAGAGAAAAAUAAAAUAAAAAUGAAAUUGAAAAGGAAAAUGGGAGGCUUGAAGGAGUUUGGAGCUUGGAGAAUGCCGGAGAAAGUUCACCGGAGUGUUUGUUUGCUUGGUGUUGUUCAGUCUUGGAAGGGAGUUCCAGGUCUAGCAAGGAACCUAAGGACACCAGCUGCAGGAGCAGGAACCUAGAUUACCUGAUCGGGUUUAGAACGAGUCAGGGUUCAGUCCAGGACUGCAGUGGGUCCCUCAUUUCUUUCUUUCUUGUUAUUGGUGUCAUGACCUUGUAGCGGUUGUACCCG